UACUGGCUGGUUUUGGAAAAGAAUUUUUCCCCUGGCGCAGGACUGUUUUCUGCUGUUAUCUUCCCAUGAAGCAAAGCAGUAGAGUGAAAUGGUUUAGUUUCUGGCCCACCUCUAGAUGCAGGACAAGCAGCUGGGCCUCCCAAGAUUCUGUUCAUCCCAUGGAGACUGAGUAUCUUUUUAAUGAGGUUUUUCAAAUUUACUUUUUCUCUGUGCUGUGAGGGAUGGAAAGGGGCAUGUCAGCGAUACAUCAUGUAGUGGCAAUGUUGAUUCCAGAUUGCUUGUAGGUUGCUCCAGGGCUGGAUGUAGUCAGUCCAGGACCCUAGGCUCAUAUGGCAAGGCAGGCUCUCUCCCCACCCCAAUGCUGUGGCCCUGCUCACUGCCCAUGGCCCCAUCUUCACACCGGAGCCUGUGGCACUCUACCUCAAUGCAGCACCCUGGACCUUCUAUAUUCACCCAUGUCAUAUCAUUAAUAUAUAUGUCAUACAACCCACUCCCAGGAGAGUAUUUGUUUAAUCAGCAGGAAAGUUGUAAUCAAGGGGUUUACAAAGCUGUAAGAGGGUUGCGCAAGCAUCACGCAGUGGGGGAUUGCUCACCUCUGUGACUCAGCAAAGUCCACCAGGACACAUCUGGGCUAGUGUUUUCCAGGCACAUGGACUGAUGAUCUAAAUAGGGAACAGUGGCAUUAUGCUUUUACCUUUUUCCUCCCCCACUUAAGCUGGAAGCAACAAGAACGCUGCCCCAGAUUUAAAGGGGACGCCUGCGUAUUAAGAACUGUAACCUGCCUGCAACAUCCAGUGGGUGCUAAACCCUCUCACUGAAACAGAAUAUAUGGCUGUAGGGAGGGUGGAGACUCUACUCAAGACCACCUUUCCAGAUUUAGUGACUCUGCCUGGACAAGGGCUGAAAGACCUGAGUAGCAGCAACAGAAAAAUCUCUGGGUUUGAAGCGCUGCUACUCAAACAGUUCCUACUUGACUAGAGCACUAAGUGACUUCUUCCUUGCGAGCCAGCCAUGAACAGAGGAGGAAGACUUUCACGCUUGGUUUUAUUACCAUUUAUGCAGAAACCUGUUUUCAGAGCUUUUUCUUUUCUAAAUAAAUUUUACUUUUAUUGAA